UGAGGAAUAUUGGUCAAUGGGCGGGAGCCUGAACCAGCCAAGUCGCGUGAGGAAGAAGGUGCUGAGCAUUGUAAACCUCUUUUGCCGGGGAACAAACGCCGUCACGAGCUGGCGGUUUGAGUGUACCCGGAGAAAAAGCAUCGGCUAACUCCGUGCC
rnacentral:rRNA from 1 species